rnacentral:rRNA from 1 species
AUACGGAGGGGGCAAGCGUUGUUCGGAAUCACUGGGCGUAAAGAGCACGUAGGCGGUCGGGUCAGUCGGACGUGAAAGCCCAGGGCUCAACCCUGGAAGUGCGUUCGAUACUACCUGACUUGAGUACGGGAGAGGAGAGUGGAAUUCCCAGUGUAGCGGUGAAAUGCGUAGAUAUUGGGAGGAACACCGGUGGCGAAGGCGGCUCUCUGGACCGUCACUGACGCUGAGGUGCGAAAGCUAGGGGAGCAAACGGGAUUAGAUACCCCAGUAGUCC